AUUGAACGCUGGCGGAAUGCUUUACACAUGCAAGUCGAGCGGCAGCGCGGGGGCAACCCUGGCGGCGAGCGGCGAACGGGUGAGUAAUACAUCGGAACGUGUCCUUAAGUGGGGGAUAGCUCGGCGAAAGCCGGAUUAAUACCGCAUAAGCUCUGAGGAGGAAAGCGGGGGCUCCGUAAGGACCUCGCGCUGUUGGAGCGGCCGAUGUCGGAUUAGCUAGUUGGUGGGGUAAAGGCCCACCAAGGCGACGAUCCGUAGCUGGUCUGAGAGGAUGAUCAGCCACACUGGAACUGAGACACGGUCCAGACUCCUACGGGAGGCAGCAGUGGGGAAUUUUGGACAAUGGGGGCAACCCUGAUCCAGCAAUGCCGCGUGAGUGAUGAAGGCCUUC
rnacentral:rRNA from 1 species